rnacentral:guide_RNA from 1 species
AAAGACAUUAAAGUCUGCAUGUUUUAGAGCUAGAAAUAGCAAGUUAAAAUAAGGCUAGUCCGUUAUCAACUUGAAAAAGUGGCACCGAGUCGGUGCUUUUUU